rnacentral:rRNA from 1 species
AACGAACGCUGGCGGCAUGCCUAACACAUGCAAGUCGAACGAGACCUUCGGGUCUAGUGGCGCACGGGUGCGUAACGCGUGGGAACCUGCCCUUAGGUUCGGAAUAACUCCCCGAAAGGGGUGCUAAUACCGGAUAAUGUCUUCGGACCAAAGAUUUAUCGCCUUUGGAUGGGCCCGCGUUGGAUUAGCUAGUUGGUAGGGUAAAAGCCUACCAAGGCGACGAUCCAUAGCUGGUCUGAGAGGAUGAUCAGCCACACUGGGACUGAGACACGGCCCAGACCCCUACGGGAGGCAGCAGUAGAGAAUAUAGGACAACGGGCGAAAGCCUGAUCCAGCAAUGCCGCGUGAGAGCUGAAGGCAUUAGGGUGGUAAAGCUCUUUUAACCGGGAUGAUAAUGACAGUACCGGUAAAAUAAGCGCCGGCUAACUCCGUG